UCUACCCGUUCCUAACUUCGAGACCCACCUUUUCCACCGACCUAUGGUUUAUAUAAACUCUCCACCAGACCGCAGUUUCGUUUUCCCUUUCCUCCUCUCGAAAUCCUACAUCAACGAAAUCUUAACUCGUUGAUUUGACCACCAAAACUACCUCGAAUCGAUUCGGGCUCUACAUGAAAGUUGUAGAUCUCGUCGAGAUCUUUCAAUCCCGACCAAUCUCAUCUCUUUUCGUCCACCAUACACGGAUAAUUUCGCAUCGCAAGGCGUCAGGUCUGACAAAGGGAAUCUUUAAUUAGUUCAUGCUCGUUCCACGAAAUCCAAAUUCCUUUGAUCUAUUUCGAGUCAACCGGAGCCAAAUCGAGUUUCAAAACUAUCUCGAAUCGUCAUGACUUCAACACGGAAGUUGUUCCUCUCGUCAAGAUCUUUCAAUUGCCGCAAGUUUCACCUUGUUUCGUUCAACGAGCAAGGAGAAAAUCAUGUUACAAGAUUCAGAUCUUAUAAGGAUUUUCUGAGGAGAAGUACGUGGUAGGAUCUCGAGUCUACAUUCCAACAUGACUGCCUGUGGCACAUGAAGAUGAUGAAGGCUCAUUGCUGAUUUACUUUCCGCUGUGUUUAUUCUGAGCUAGUCCGUGUGACUAUGCAAUUUGUAAGGUUUUAUUGUACCCUCUGGAUAAACGAUGUAGUAAUUUGAUACUAUUGCAAUGAUUAUUAUAUUUUGUAAUGUGUGUGCUAUCAGUGAUCCCGGGAAUAGCACUAUACACAGGUAUCUUGCCUUUAUUAAAAGGUAGGGUG